rnacentral:rRNA from 1 species
GUGAGGAAUUUUGCGCAAUGGGGGAAACCCUGACGCAGCAACGCCGCGUGAGUGAAGAAGGCCUUCGGGUUGUAAAGCUCUGUCAAGUGGGAAGAACCUUUUUCGGCUGAAUAAGCCGAAAAACUGACGGUACCGCUGAAGGAAGCACCGGCUAACUCCGUGCCAGCAGCCGCGGUAAUACGGAGGGUGCAAGCGUUAUUCGGAUUUAUUGGGCGUAAAGGGCGUGUAGGUGGUCUGAUAAGUCAGGUGUGAAAGCCCCUGGCUCAACCAGGGAAGUGCAUUUGAAACUAUCAGACUUGAGUACGGGAGGGGGAAGUGGAAUUCCUGGUGUAGAGGUGAAAUUCGUAGAUAUCAGGAGGAAUACCGGUGGCGAAGGCGACUUCCUGGACCGAUACUGACACUGAGACGCGAAAGCGUGGGGAGCAAACAGGAUUAGAAACCCCAGUAGUCC